rnacentral:rRNA from 1 species
AAUGAACGUUGGCGGCGUGGAUUAGGCAUGCAAGUCGUACGCAUAGCUUCGGCUAUGAGUGGCGCAAGGGUGAGUAAUGCGAAGGUAACCAACCCUGGUGUUGGGCAUAGCCGCGGGAAACUGCGGGUAAUUCCCAGCGACGUCGCGAGAUGGCAUCAUCUUGCGACCAAAGGUGUAAUUCCGCUCUAGGACGGGCCUUCGUGGUAUUAGGUAGUUGGUGAGGUAACGGCUCACCAAGCCGACGAUGCCUACCGGGUGUGAGAGCAUGACCCGGCACACUGGAACUGAGACACUGUCCAGACACCUACGGGUGGCUGCAGUCGAGAAUCUUCGGCAAUGGGCGAAAGCCUGACCGAGCGACGCCGCGUGAGGGAAGAAGGCCUUCGGGUUGUAAACCUCUUUCGUAGAGGAGGAAGGGGCCGUGCAGAGCAGUCUUUGACCUAUUCUAGGAAGAAGCUUGGGCUAAGUUCGUGCCAGCAGCCGCGGUAAGACGAACCAAGCGAACGUUAUUCGGAAUUACUGGGCUUAAAGCGCGUGUAGGCGGAUGACCACGUCAGUCGUUGAAAUCCCCCGGCUCAACCGGGGAACAGGCGCUGAUACGAGUUGUCUGGAGGUGGGUAGGGGAGACUGGAACUUCCGGUGGAGCGGUGAAAUGCGUUGAGAUCGGAAGGAACGCCCGCGGCGAAAGCGAGUCUCUGGACCCAUUCUGACGCUGAGACGCGAAAGCCAGGGGAGCAAACGGGAUUAGAUACCCCGGUAGUCCUGGCUGUAAACAUUGGGCACUGGGUAGUGGAACCGCCGAUGGUUUCACUGCCGCAGGGAAACCGUGAAGUGCCCCGCCUGGGGAGUAUGGUCGCAAGGCUGAAACUCAAAGGAAUUGANGGGGCUCACAC